rnacentral:tRNA from 1 species
GGAGAGAUGGCUGAGUGGUCGAAAGCGCUCCCCUGCUAAGGGAGUAAGGGCUAAUACCCCUUCGAGGGUUCGUGGGCCCUCUAUAGAGGGUCCAAAUGUUAAUGUAGAUAGUCAGAGGUCGAACCCUCGAAAUAAACAACAGGGUUCGACAAAUCGGCGGAGCCGAUUUGGACGCACGACGUGCGCCCGAAGGGUGAGCGAGUGGAGCGAGCGAAUCAAUCCCUCUCUCUCCGCCA